GUCACAUAGCACUCCUGUCUCCCGUUUGACUUCAUAUAGUGAAAAUUGUCUAAAAGAUAAGGCAGGAGCUCUGGUUGACACCCCCCCUGCCCCCGCCUCAUAGAUCUCUCUCUAGAAGCAUUGGAAGAGGCCGUCUCAAAAAAGAAAAAUAAAAUAGAAGCAUUGGAGGAAAGAUGUGGUUUGUAGUGAAACAAAUUGGAAGUCAAGCUCAGCCUCAACCACUUACUUGCUUCUGACCUUGGCAUUAGGAAGAGGCCGGGUGCCGUGGCUCACACCUGUAGUGCCAGCGCUUUGGAAGGCUAAGAUGGGCAGACUGCUUGAACUCAGGAGUUUGAGACCAGCCUGGGCAAUGUGUCAAGACCCCAUCUCUACAAGAAAUUUUAAAAUUAGCCAGGCAUUGUGGUAGGUGUCUGUGGUUCCAGCUACUCAGGAGGCUGAGGCAGGAGGAUUGCUUGAGCCUGAGAAGUUGAGGCUACAGGGAGCUGUGAUCUCACCACUGCACUCCAGCCUGGGCAACAGAGUGAGACCCUGUCUCAAUCAAUCAAUCAAUC
rnacentral:lncRNA from 10 species